rnacentral:miRNA from 10 species
CGCGAUGAUGCUUUGCCAAAACC